GUUUUGGGUAUCACCUUUCUCUUUAAAGUUAUCUACCUUCUUCUUAUUCAGUUCCCAGUUCCAAUGAUACGAUUGAAUUCCCAGGCAAAGGUUUCCACUUUGAUCCACACUUUCUCUUUGUUACAAUUGAAUAAAUCUUCUCACUUCAAAAUUUUCAUCUUUAGUUCACACUUUGCUUCUAUCCUUUCUCAUCGUUCGGUUGGGUUUGAGUGCUGCCAUAUGCAAACACAACAAAAGGGUUAGCGACGGUGGUAGCCAGCCAAAGAGCAUAUGAAAAAUAGCAGUGACGAGGCAAAGGUUUCCACUUUGGUCCAUACUUUCUCUUGGUCCAAUUGUUGUUGCUACAAAGGGACAAAAGGCAAAACAGUCCACUCACAAGCGAAAGCGAAGACGAUGCAAAAAUUGCAAGUCAUUUGGACAUGAUAGACGAAAAUGUACUAAAGUGUGCACAGAUGCAUAUGAAACUCACAAUUAUGAUCAUGUUGGGGCACCCAAUAAUGUUGAGAAUGUAAAUUUGAAUCUGAUAGGAUCAUCCGAUGGCCUAUUGCAAUCAGAUU